rnacentral:rRNA from 1 species
UCUUUCAUGAUCUUGUGAGAGGUGGUGCAUGGCCGUUCUUAGUUCGUGUAGUGAUAUGUCUGCCUAAUCGCGUCACGAUAACCUAUUGGUCGACAACCCAAUUAUCACAACUGCAGCAUAACUCCCCUUGGGUGGGCGAGGCUCUGUGUAGGAUAGACCUCUGAACAGUACGCAACGAACGCGAUCGUAAUCCCUUGUUGAGUGGCCAUCCUGUAAGCUGCUGGAUUAGGAACCCAGUGGUAUUAUCUCAGCCACAGAUUUUCUGGUUGUAAUGGGCCAGUUUUGAAACUCGGGGAACAUCUGUGACUUUCUUUCUUAACGCAGAGGAAGGUUAUGGCAAUAACAGG